UGGGGAAUAUUGGACAAUGGGCGCAAGCCUGAUCCAGCCAUGCCGCGUGAGUGAUGAAGGCCCUAGGGUUGUAAAGCUCUUUCACCGGUGAAGAUAAUGACGGUAACCGGAGAAGAAGCCCCGGCUAACUUCGUGCCAGCAGCCGCGGUAAUACGAAGGGGGCUAGCGUUGUUCGGAUUUACUGGGCGUAAAGCGCACGUAGGCGGACUUUUAAGUCAGGGGUGAAAUCCCGGGGCUCAACCCUGGAACUGCCUUUGAUACUGGAAGUCUUGAGUAUGGUAGAGGUGAGUGGAAUUCCGAGUGUAGAGGUGAAAUUCGUAGAUAUUCGGAGGAACACCAGUGGCGAAGGCGGCUCACUGGACCAUUACUGACGCUGAGGUGCGAAAGCGUGGGGAGCAAACAGG
rnacentral:rRNA from 1 species